GGUCUAAUAGUGUAGAGGUUAUCACACGGGAUUUUGAUCAAAGGUCUGCUUCCCGUGACCCAGGUUCGAGUCCUGGUUAGACCU